UUGAAUGAACUUGGCUGUGGUUGUUGCUGGCCCUCUUGGGGGCAUGUGCACACCCGCCAACCUCAUCUCUCCACCUGUGCACUUCUUGUAGACUUGGAUAGACUUUCCGAGGCAACUCGGUCUGGAGGAAUGCUGAAGCUUUCUUUGUAUUUCCCGGUCUACGUUUUUUUUUCAUAUACCCCAUCGCAUGUAACAGAAUGUAUCAUAUUGGGCCCUUGUGCCUAUAAACCUUAUA
rnacentral:misc_RNA from 1 species